rnacentral:rRNA from 1 species
GCCAGCAGUGAGCGAACGCUGAAUCCACCAGUUCCCAAUGGAUCACUGAAGUUAAGCAACAUUGUACGUGGUUAGUAUCUAGAUGGGUAACCAUCUGGUCAAUCACGUGCUGCUGGCU